rnacentral:lncRNA from 1 species
UCUUCUUCCUUCCUUUUCUUCUUAUUCUACUUCUUCUUCUUCUUCUUCUUCUUCUUCUUCUUCGUCUUCUUCUUCUUCUUCCUUCUUUUCCUUUUUCCUUCUCUUUAUUCUUCUCCUCUCUCAUGUUUUUUUAUUCUUCUUCUUCUUUUUCUCCUCCUCCUCCUCUUCUUCUUAUUCUUCUUCCCUUAUCUACUAGGAAAACAUUUAAAUUAGUUGGUUGAUUAGUGGAAGAAAUCAGCCGCGUUGCUGGCAUGCCACG